rnacentral:lncRNA from 1 species
GCCAAGCCGUCGGCGACGCCUCCAGCCCUUUGUACAGUCUUGAUCUGCAGCAUGCGGAAGGAGGAACAAGCAACGCGGGUCAAUAGCAAUCAGCAAUCAGCAACGCUGCCUCCCAGUCCCAGGUGCUGAGGUGCACAAUUCUGCGAUACAGCUUCUGGAGCUGGAACCUGAAGCACUUGUUAUACUCGACAGUUCGACUGCAGGUAGAGUAUCCUUACCUGAGAAGACAGAAGAGCACCAUGGCUGGCUCGUGUGCUAUGUUUCCCUAGCUUGGAGUCGGCUUCUUCGGCAUCAACAUCACUCAUCAAGAGGAACGUUAAGGCGCCCUGAUUCACGGGAGAUUCUCCUAUGGCAGUUGGGAAGUUUAUAGUGGGUGCAAUUGUGUCAAACACAAGUGUCAUUUAGACUAAUUAGUUUCAGUCAUGUUAGAAUAAUGAAAAGGGUUCCAGAUUCAGAAGUUAUAUUUCGGUAGUGCCAUCAAGUGAUGGUCGUUGCAGAACAUUGUUAAGAUGAAGCAUUUUUACGUAGGUUGUAAAAGGGUCAUAACAGUGAAGUUAUAAUGGUCGGGUUGAAACUUACCAUUUCACCAAUCACCAAGCUAUCAAAUGAAAUGAAAAUUUCUACCAGUUUGGGGUCAAUGCAUAAAUAAAAUAAAAUUGCAUAUCUGGAUUCAGUAUGACUACCUUAAACAGGCACCGUUUUGAAUUAUAAAUUAUAAUGUCCCAUGAUGAUCUCAUGUUGAGUGGAACAUGCUAUCUUUGUCACUUGUUCAUGUC